UACUGAGUGGCAGACGGGUGAGUAACAUGUGGGAAUCUGCCUUGUGGUUCAGGACAACAUUGGGAAACCGAUGCUAAUACUGGAUAAGCCCUUACGGGGAAAGUUUUAAUGCCAUAAGAUGAGCCCGCAUUUGAUUAGUUAGUUGGUGAGGUAAUGGCUCACCAAGACAAUGAUCAAUAGCUGAUCUGAGAGGAUGAUCAGCCACACUGGGACUGAGACACGGCCCAGACUCCUACGGGAGGCAGCAGUGGGGAAUCUUGCACAAUGGAGGAAACUCUGAUGCAGCGAUGCCGCGUGAGUGAAGAAGGCCUUUGGGUUGUAAAGCUCUUUUGUAGGGGAGGAUAAUGACUGUACACUAAGAAUAAGGUCCGGCUAACUUCGUGCCAGCAGCCGCGGUAAUACGAAGGGACCUAGCGUAGUUCGGAAUUACUGGGCGUAAAGCGCGCGUAGGCCGUUGAGUUAGUUAAUUGUGAAAUCCCAAAGCUUAACUUUGGAACUGCAAUUAA
rnacentral:rRNA from 1 species